rnacentral:rRNA from 1 species
AACGAACGCUGGCGGCGUGCUUAACACAUGCAAGUCGAGCGGUAAGGCCCUUUCGGGGGUACACGAGCGGCGAACGGGUGAGUAACACGUGGGUGACCUGCCCUCAGCUCUGGGAUAAGCCUGGGAAACCGGGUCUAAUACUGGAUAUGACUCCAUGACGCAUGUUGUGGGGUGGAAAGCCUUGUGCGGCUGAGGAUGGGCCCGCGGCCUAUCAGCUUGUUGGUGGGGUGAGGCCUACCAAGGCGACGACGGGUAGCCGGCCUGAGAGGGCGACCGGCCACACUGGGACUGAGACACGGCCCAGACUCCUACGGGAGGCAGCAGGUGGGGAAUCUUGCGCAAUGGGCGAAAGCCUGACGCAGCGACGCCGCGUGAGGGAUGACGGCCUGG